rnacentral:rRNA from 1 species
AUUGAACGCUGGCGGCAGGCCUAACACAUGCAAGUCGGACGGUAGCACAGAGAGCUUGCUCUUGGGUGACGAGUGGCGGACGGGUGAGUAAUGUCUGGGGAUCUGCCCGAUGGAGGGGGAUAACCACUGGAAACGGUGGCUAAUACCGCAUAACGUCGCAAGACCAAAGAGGGGGACCUUCGGGCCUCUCACUAUCGGAUGAACCCAGAUGGGAUUAGCUAGUAGGCGGGGUAAUGGCCCACCUAGGCGACGAUCCCUAGCUGGUCUGAGAGGAUGACCAGCCACCCUGGAACUGAGACACGGUCCAGACUCCUACGGGAGGCAGCAGUGGGGAAUAUUGCACAAUGGGCGCAAGCCUGAUGCAGCCAUGCCGCGUGUAUGAAGAAGGCCUUCGGGUUGUAAAGUACUUUCAGCGGGGAGGAAGGCGACGCGGUUAAUAACCGCGUCGAUUGACGUUACCCGCAGAAGAAGCACCGGCUAACUCCGUGCCAGCCGCCGCCGUAA